rfam:Salmo salar isolate Sally breed double haploid chromosome ssa15, whole genome shotgun sequence.
UGCAUUCACUACUAAGUAAGUCGCUCUGGAUAAGAGUGUCUGCUAAAUGACGUAAA